ensembl:lncRNA
GGGGCGGUAUCCGUUGUGGAGUAAUGGCCAGCCAGGAUCUGUGUGAACACCAAGCCAAAAAUGCAACUUUGCGCCUCAGUUGUUAGUUAAUUUAUGUUAUUUUGGGGACUGAAUGGUCGUCGGGGAAAGUCCGUAGCCUACUUAUUCUUUGCAUUCAAUUGAAGAGCAUUGAAGAGAAUUUCGCCCGGGAAUGUGAUAACACCUGUGUUUGGAGUUAAUGUUUUAAAAUAAUCUUCUCUUGAAUUUGGGUAAAGUAGUCAAUUGGAAAGCGAUAGAACUGAGCGUAAGUGGUCGUCAGUGGCAGAAUUAACGCUCUUGUGGCCCGUUAAGUUUUCAUCAUGGGAACAUAUGUCUGGUUUCCAGCGUUCUACGCGUUUAUCGUCUGUGGAUAUUUAGCGUUUUUCUCUGGGGUACUUUUCCCACAAGCAGAAGCGGGGUGCAGGGAGAGAGAAAGCCCACAUUGCUGUACCGGGAGAAAUAACGAAUGUUUUGAGUACACGAAGCGUAAAACUGUGUGCUACUGCGAUUCGUACUGUCAGAAAACAGGGGACUGCUGCGAGGACUAUCGGCAUGUUUGUCAAAUAUCUGGAUUACUUUGGGCACACUAUUCCCAGAGAACAGUUGAUGGCUCCUGGAUCUGAGGUGAAUGUGCCUCUGCAAAUUAUCCUUACAAGUCCAGUACAGGCUCUUCCUCGAACAUGGACUUAACUUUCUGGAACCUAUCGCAUUCUUCCACCCACGCUUGAAGCCUCUCAUAAGAUGUCUGCUGGAAGAGAAUCCCAGAGGCGAGGUGCAGAGCGGCUAAAGGCUCUAAACCCCAUAGUGGUCAAAUGGGCUGGAGGAACAGUGAGAUAAACUUCUACAGAGAGUCCUGGCCAUGAGGAGGGACACCACUGUUACUUUCCAAGCUGAAAUAACAAGACUUCCCAAUCCAGCCCUUCCACCCAAUAUUGCUACCCUGCCAAAGCUAGCUAAGGAAGAAGUUGUUGCACAUCACAGAUCUCGCAUUCAAAAAAGUCCAUAAAAUCACUGCAGUAACACAAUUCGUUGUAGUAGUAGUACAUCGGAAAGUAGUGAUCCACUUUAACCAUUACUGUAAAUAACACAAACAUACAUAUUUUUUAAAUCACUUUGUAUAUUGUCAACUAAAGUGCCAUUGUUGUUUAAAAGGUACGUAUGACAAUUUCUUGCUUAUAAACAAAGUGAGUUAUUGUUGAAUGUUGGCCUACCAAUU